CCUACGGGCGGCUACAGUCGAGAAUCAUUCACAAUGGGGGAAACCCUGAUGGUGCGACGCCGCGUGGGGGAAUGAAGGUCUUCGGAUUGUAAACCCCUGUCAUGUGGGAGCAAAUUAAAAAGAUAGUACCACAAGAGGAAGAGACGGCUAACUCUGUGCCAGCAGCCGCGGUAAUACAGCGGUCUCAAGCGUUGUUCGGAAUCACUGGGCGUAAAGCGUGCGUAGGCUGUUUCGUAAGUCGUGUGUGAAAGGCGCGGGCUCAACCCGCGGACGGCACAUGAUACUGGGAGGCUAGGGUGAUGGAGGGGGAACCGGAAUUCUCGGUGUAGCAGUGAAAUGCGUAGAUAUCGAGAGGAACACUCGUGGCGAAGGCGGGUUCCUGGACAUUAACUGACGCUGAAGCACGAAAGCGUGGGGAUCGAACAGGAUUAGAUACCCCUGUAGUC
rnacentral:rRNA from 1 species